UACGUAGGGUGCGAGCGUUAAUCGGAAUUACUGGGCGUAAAGCGUGCGCAGGCGGUUUUGUAAGCCCGAUGUGAAAUCCCCGGGCUUAACCUGGGAAUGGCAUUUGGGACUGCAAGGCUCGAGUGCGGCAGAGGAGACUGGAAUUCCUGGUGUAGCAGUGAAAUGCGUAGAUAUCAGGAGGAACACCGAUGGCGAAGGCAGGUCUCUGGGCUGACACUGACGCUGAUGCACGAAAGCGUGGGGAGCAAACAGG
rnacentral:rRNA from 1 species